rnacentral:lncRNA from 1 species
UGCUCCCCAGUCGGCGCAGCAGCCCCUCUCAGGCUGGGUUCUUCAGCUUUCCAUCUGUCUGUGAGCUGCCCCCAACCCUUCUUGCAAAUUCCUUUCUUGGUUUUAUGCCAGCUGAUGUUAGUUUCCAUUGCUUGCAAACACCUGAAUGGCUGCUCUGUCUGUGACCUGGUCCCUAGAUGAGGCGCCAAGGGAAGGAAUGUAACAGAUGUUGGCCAAGAGGGUUUCCCAGGAAGGGCUGCCUCCAAAAUAGGAACGAAAGAAAAACUGUGUCAUGUUCUGGGUUUCUACAAUAACAGCUAUCAAUAUUCAAGCUGCUUCCGGAUGAUUUAACAUGAAAGAGCAGCCCUCGAAGGCAGAGACCUGCCUCUUGUGAGCAGCAUUUUAAGAGGAUGAAAAGCAUCCGAGAGCCUGAGUGACAUGAGGGGCCCUGGGCCGCGCUGCUCAAGCGGCAGCAAGAGAAAUGUGGGAAAUAUAAAAAGCAGCAAAUUCUUCUCUGUGGGGUCCUGGGCCAGAUCUUCUGUAGGCACUCGGCGCAUUGGAGACCCAGGAACCUUUCUGGGGUUUAGAUUUUGUGUCCGGCAGGUCGAUGCCCACUUGGUGACUGCAGGAGGGACCCAGGAUGGAGGAGACCGGGCUGCAGACUCCAUUCCCUCUUUGGUUGGAUGCACUUGGUUGCCACCAGUUCCAGUGACAGCUUCAGGGCCCAUUCCAACUGCUUCUUACUAGUGAAUGUCAGCUCUGUAAAAGCAAGGACUUUCCUUUGAUCACUUCAU